CCCUCGGCGUCUUUGGACGCCACUCUCUUUUUGGUAUGAGAGGAGU
rfam:Hordeum vulgare subsp. vulgare, WGS project CAJW01000000 data, contig: morex_contig_2556588